GAUGAAGAACGUAGCGAAAUGCGAUAAGUAAUGUGAAUUGCAGAAUUCAGUGAAUCAUCGAAUCUUUGAACGCACAUUGCGCCCGCUAGUAUUCUGGCGGGCAUGCCUGUCCGAGCGUCAUUUCAACCCUCAAGCCCCCGGGCUUGGUGUUGGGGAUCGGCGAGCCUCCGCGCCCGCCGUCCCCUAAAUCUAGUGGCGGUCUCGCUGUAGCUUCCUCUGCGUAGUAGCACACCUCGCACUGGGAAACAGCGCGGCCACGCCGUUAAACCCCCAACUUCUGAACGUUUGACUUCGGAUCGGGUAGGAAUACCCGCUGAACUUAAGCAUAUCAAUAAGCGGAGGA
rnacentral:misc_RNA from 1 species